rnacentral:rRNA from 1 species
GGAGUUCAAAGUUUUGUGCGUUCGCCUCGCGAGAGGUUGUAACGCCGCUUGUCUCCUUUUUUGGGAUUUCAGUGCGGGGGUGGCCUUCACUGGUCGUCCUCGUGUCUGCCCAUCAUUUACUGUGAGCAAAAUAGAGUGUUCAAAGCAGGCUUACGCCGUUGAAUAUAUUAGCAUGGAAUAAUAAGAUAAGACCUUGGUCUAAUUUUGUUGGUUUGCAGUCCGAGGUA